CCUACGGGAGGCAGCAGUGGGGAAUAUUGGACAAUGGGCGCAAGCCUGAUCCAGCCAUACCGCGUGGGUGAAGAAGGCCUUCGGGUUGUAAAGCCCUUUUGUUGGGAAAGAAAUCCUAUCGGUUAAUAACCGGUGGGGAUGACGUACCCAAAGAGAAGAUCUGCUA
rnacentral:rRNA from 1 species